UCGGACGUGGUGUAUGGUACACCGCGAGGCUCUCUCGCUUCUGCAAUGAUCUACACCUCGCAGAACGGGGUUCAACUCCCCGCGUCCGAA